UUACACCCUUGCAAUGACAACACUGAAAUAACAUACUAGAUGUUGAAAAGCAUAAGGUCUCUUCAAAUUCUCAACAUCCAGCUUGUCAUUCAUCUCUCUACACCAGUACAGUUCAAACUAAGAUACUGGAUGGCUGCUUAUUUUCAUUGUCACGUUCACUAACAACAACAAAAAAAGCAACAACAGAAAAAAUCACCUGACUGAGAAUUCACAGCACCUCUCAACACUGCCUAUAACUUCUGUAAAGGAGUCUUUCUCAAAACAAUGGUUUCCUCCUUGAAAAACCUAGAAUGCUGACCAGACACGGGAAUUUCCACCUGAAUACGAAGCCGUCACUUCUGCCUCAGCUCUGAAGACGUCACUUCUUGUCCCGGCCCCGAGGACCACGUCACUUCCUGUCCUGGCCCCGAGGACCACGUCACUUCCUGUCCUGGCCCCGAGGACCACGUCACUUCCUGUCCCGGCCCCGAGGACCACAUCACUUCCACUAACCUCCCUAUAAAAACCUACUCCCUUCUUCU